CUUUUUCCAUUUAGCAUUUUAUCCAAUGAACAUAAUUGCGUUUGCUGAUGAAUUCAGUUCGGCUUCAGGAGAAUUUUUCUUUUCUUCAUGGGGAAGCUGAAGAAUCAGAACUGUCACUCCAAAGAAUGAAACACAGCCCUGGAGAGAAAAACAGUCUGAUGUUUACACAGUUAAGAAAUCCAACUCAAGGGUGUCACGCUGUGUACUCAAGCUCACUCACCUGGUGACACCUCUUCCUUUAUGGAGAGGAGAUUCGAUGAUGAGAACCUUCAUCUGCUACUGGCCUGCAGAGAGGGUCCCAUUGCUCAGAGGGACAGCUAGAUUAGGUCUUCACGGGAAGCACCUGGAUGGAUCUGGAACAGAAUAUGGAGUUCUUCCUCGGAUCUACGAUAUCAUGGUUACCUGAACAAAAAAGGGUUGGACUCCUGAGAAUGGCAACAUCAAACAGGUUUAUUUAGCUGUGUGAUGAGCAGAGCUGCAGGAAGCAAGCAAACACUGUUAGCAGAAGCCAGGAGGAAAUCUUUAA